rnacentral:lncRNA from 1 species
UGAAACAUUUUGAAAUUCAUGUAGGGUGAUAAAUGAUAGAGGAUGGGAUGUUUUUGAGAUAUGUUUAGGUGGAUGAAUGAUAUAGGAUGAAGUGCUUUGAGAUUUGUGUAUGUGGAUGGUUAAUAGAUGAUGAAAUUUUUUAAGAUUUUGAAUAAUAGAGGAUAGAGUGUUUUAAAAUCUAUGCAAGCGAUAAAUUAUAGAAAAUAGAAUAUUUUGAUAUUUGUGUCGGUGAAUGGAUGAUAAUGGAUAGAGUGUUUAGAUAUCUGUGCACCAAUGGAUCAAAGACAGUGCUUGUGGUGGACGAAUGGAUUAUAGAUGGAAUGCAUUGAGAUUUGUGCAUGAUGGAAUGAAGCUCUUUUGAGAUCGGUGCGUGGAGAUGGAUGAUUGAGUUCAGAGUAUUUUAAGAUUUGUGUUGGCAAAUGAAUGAUAAAGGAUGGAGUAUUAUGCAUAUGGAUGAAUGAUAGUGAAUUAAGCAUUUUUAGAGUGUGUAGAUAGAUGAAUAACAAAAAGCAACCUCCUU